rnacentral:rRNA from 1 species
UACAGAGGAUGCAAGCGUUAUCCGGAAUGAUUGGGCGUAAAGCGUCUGUAGGUGGCUUUUUAAGUCCGCCGUCAAAUCCCAGGGCUCAACUCUGGACAGGCGGUGGAAACUACCAAGCUGGAGUACGGUAGGGGCAGAGGGAAUUCCUGGUGUAGCGGUGGAAUGCGCAGAUAUCAGGAGGAACACCGAUGGCGAAGGCAGGUCACUGGGCCGCAACUGACGCUGAGGAGCGAAAGCAUGGGGAGCGAACAGG